AUUUCGCACCUGUUUCUUGUGUUCCUCCCUGUUCAGAAUUUUAAAGCAUGGUGCCGGCAGCCAAGGCUUCCGGGCGAAAGCUAUAGCUGGAGAUGGUUGCUGUCGUGAUACUGCGGAUUGUCGUUCCUACGGAUCCCUAGGAUAUGGGAAAGCUCUAUCCUGAGUAUCUUUUAACAAGUGUGGGCCGAAGUACCUUGACCUGUGUUUAGAAUGGCUGUGUUAUGGUGUGAAAUCUGGUAACUUGUGACAAAUCAAUUACUGUAUGUGCAAUUGUUUAGGAAAGGCAAUGGCUGCUGCAUGUCCCGUUAAAGGUGUGUUAAGAUGUCUGACUCAGUUUACGUUUCUUGGUUACAUGAAUGCUGUAACUGGCAAUUCCGUGUACAUGUGGGUCCUUUUGAUUCUUCAUUCAUUGUGCGCUUUGAUUGGUACUUUACUUUAAUAGCUGCUCCCCACCACUCAACCUGUUUUCCAUAUUACAGGUGUUACAUGUGACCGUGCAAGAUAAGUUGAAUUUGCUUUGGCUAUUGGAUUGUAAGGGGGACUUGAGCUAGUCAUGGCGAACACUUAUGCUGCGUACGGAUAUGGCUGCUCUGCAGUUUCUUUGAAAUAGGUGGUCUCAUUUUAGCGACGCCAUGUGAUUUUAGGAUUUACACGUUUUGUGUGGCGAACAAGAGGAAACCAACAAAAAAAAAACAUCUCUCUUCUUGUGAUCUGUUAUUUCUUACCCCCCUCUAACACACAAGAGCAGCUCCACUAAAAUAAUAAAACAAAAAUGAUUUACACGGCUGGUUGUGGGUUCAAUGGAUGUUGGAGAUUAUCAAUGAAAUUGGUUACGUAGGAUAGACAGAUUGGGUGCCAUUGCUUUGUGUAAAUUGUGCCUCUACAUCAAUCAACAUGUUUCGCGUUUUCUCCUGUACGGCGUUUAUGGCUACGACUAAUUGGUGGAGUUAAUAUAAUCCAUGGUUUCGUCAAAAUGCAAGCUGACAUUUUAAACUUCUGAUUGUUGCAUUCUGGUUAGUCCCGUGGAAUUAAUGUUGCUUGUUAAGCGCAGAUUUUUAUUCCAAGAAUUCGCUACUGGAGUUUUCUUCCUCGUGUGUGAACGGCGUUUGGCUCGGCCGUCGACGGUGCGUUGCUGCUCGUCUGUUGCUGCAUUCUGUUGGGGGCUGCCUUUAGUCAGGUAGGCCAUCUGGAAGUGAUGUGUGCAAGUUUUAAAUGGAUGGCAAAACUUACAAACCGUGGAGAAAGGGGAUUGAAAGGGUAGUGAGCCUUUUUUUCCUGAACGGUGGUUUGUUUCACAAGUUAACCGGCAGGAAAGGGUGGAAGUCUGAUCCUUAUUGAUGAAGAAGAAGAGUUUAACAGACUGCUAUCAGGAAAUAAGUUUGUAGAUAAUAUAUUAUCUGAUUGAUUAAAAAGGAAGAACUUUGAUUUCAAUUCCAACUCAACGGAUAUUACGAAACACUUCACUACAAAAUGUUAUUUAUUUCUAAAAUUUAUGAAGAACUGUGCAAUUAACAAAUCCAAGGCGUUUGACUGUUAUAUGGUUAUUUUCCAAUCGUCAUCCCUUGGCUGGCCUUUGUUUAGUAACUUUAGUUCUUAUUGCUUAUCCAUUAUUGUCUUCCACGAAUUCAAUAGCAGGUUCGUUAAUUUUAGUGAAAAUAGGUUUCAACAUUUCAGUAUUCUACUUAAAUGGAUAUAGAUUGCAUCACUUAUUAAACAAGUAAAUGACGUUAAAAAUGCUUUUCGAUGUCAGACUAAAACUAUGUUAAACGAAGUAAAUUAGGUUUUGGGGAGUUGAAAUCAGACUAUAAAUACAAAAAUUUAUUUGUUGUCAUCAAACGGUAAAACAAUAGAAAAUUUAUGUAAAAGAACAAAUCGUUACACAGUGCAACGAUUCAUUGGCAAAGAUCUAUUGUCGAUGUUCCAA